AUUGAACGCUGGCGGCAGGACUCACACAUGCAAGUCGAGCGGAGCGGCGGACGGGUGAGUAAUGCCUAGGAAUUUGCCUGGUAGUGGGGGAUAACGUCCGGAUACGGGCGCUAUUACCGCAUCCCUUCAGUGUAGCCUAGGUCGCAUUAGGUAGUUGGUGGGGUAAAGGCCGACCAAGGCGACGAUCCGUAACUGGUCUGAGAGGAUGAUCAGUCACACUGGAACUGAGACACGGUCCAGACUCCUACGGGAGGCAGCAGUGGGGAAUAUUGGACAAUGGGCGAAAGCCUGAUCCAGCCAUGCCGCGUGUGUGAAGAAGGUCUUCGGAUUGUAAAGCACUUUAAGUUGGGAGGCGUUACCAACAGAAUAAGCACCGGCUAACUUCGUGCCAGCAGCCGCGGUAAUAC
rnacentral:rRNA from 1 species